rnacentral:sRNA from 1 species
AAAAAUUGUAAUUUGGAAGGUUUUAGGAUACUAUAAUGGAGCAAACAGUCUCUCUUAUGCCUGGGUAUUUGGUUUGCUUUAUUUAUGAUAGAACAUGGAAAUAUUUUAAAACUAAGAUUUGUUGAAAACCCCAUAUUAUUAAUAUUGUUGUGUUAAAGGUAUAUCUAUUGAACUGUCAGUGAAAUAUGAGACAUUUUACCCAGUGACAUUUUAAAUGAAUCUCAUUGUAGGGGAAGCCUGUGGGAACACCAGAUGCUGGCGCUUAUUUCCGUGUGCUUGCAGAGCAUGGAGUAGCUGCCUUGUUUACAGCACCAACUGCAAUUAGAGCAAUCCGUCAACAGGACCCUGGGGCAGCUUUGGGGAAGCAGUACUCUCUGACAAGGUUCAAAACAUUAUUUGUGGCUGGAGAACGAUGUGAUGUAGAGACCCUGGAAUGGUCCAAAAAUGUCUUCAGAGUACCUGUCUUAGACCAUUGGUGGCAAACUGGUGAGCAUUUUCCUAGCAUGUACAUAAAUAUUAAAGAAAUGUUCCAAAAGGCUGCAAGGAUUGGAGGAAACUUUUGAGCUAUGACCAGCAGAUCAGACACAAACUCAGGAUUCAAGUGGUUCAUGUUUCAGUAAAAAUAAGCAAUUUUUUUAUUGUUGUAUUAUUAAUAAUGUCUUCAUAAGUGACAUUGAUGCCACCAUUCUCUUGGUCCCUAGGUAUAAAGCCCUAAAGACCUCUUUAUCUUCUCUUCUUUGUUUCUUAUAUCUGGUAAGUUACUAAGUCUCAGAUUUUCCUUUGAAGUGUCUGUUGGGUUCAUCCCACCUUCAGUAUUCCCCUUGCCUUUGAGCUCUGGCAGCUGCAUUGUCCUCUGUCCUGAUU